ensembl:lncRNA
CUCCAGUGGCGGGAUGUGAUUCACCAGCAAGGAGGGACGCCAAUAAAGUGAUCUUAGAAGUCUUUCUUCUCUCUCUACGAUGAAAAGUUUGAAUGAGAUAUAGAAAACACAACAGUGGAAGACAUUGCUGCUUGCAAAACAAAAGGAUGGUUCUAACAUCAUAUCCUGUGCUGGCACAUGGAAACAAAAAAUGCUACAAUAUACACCACAUCUAGCUACAAGGGAUUUUGAGGAGUAUGGUUCCGAGUUGCAAGAUUUUGCAAAAUAGUAAAUUGCAUUUGGCAGGAGUAAAAGCAAAAGGUGACCAAGUCAAAUUGCAUGCUUGAUCUACAGGAAUACAGCGGCAAGAUGUGAUCCACUGGCAUGGAAGGACACCAAUAAGGCAUCCGAUAAGAUAAGUCUUAUAAAAUAUAUAGGUUUAUGAUAGUUAAGACUGAGAUAACAGAUGAGAAUCCUAGUCAUUGGCCAUACAGCAUUGUACCUAAUAUAAGUUUCUGUGUAUUCAUUUGGGCCUAACUCGGGCGGGCGGCUGACGUAAAGCUCACACGUGGCGGUGGGGCUCAGGUGGUUUUGGCAGAAAGAUUUAUCAUAACAGAUGCCCAUGUCAGCCAGGGCAUCUUCACCUUGUCUCAUCCCCCUGCCAGCUGAGGAACACACGUAGAGCCUUGGGGAAGAGUUAAUGAGUAUAUAGGCUGGGUAGUCUUUGUCAUCAAAUUAAGGAUUUGUUCUUUCUUUUUAGAGAAUGAAACACUGCUGGACUUUAAAGAAUUACAUACCCUUCUGAGGUAUACAUUGAAUGUAAAGUGUGCUAAAAGAUUGUAGAGGCAGCACAAGAGAUAGCAGUUCAAUGAGUGUUGUAACCCAUCUUUGUGGGGCCUUCAUUUAGAUCCAGCUGACUUUCCUGGUUUGUUCCUGAGAUGGGGAGUGUGGAUUGAGAAAUGGCUGAGUUAUGUAACCAAAAAUACCUGAGAUUGGUCAUUUAUAAGGACUGAAGUGUUUUGUCACAGUUCUGAAGGCUGGACCUUCCAAGUUUAGCAUGCUCCCCAUUGGUACCUGUGAAGCUUCCUGUUGGCUGGUCUAGAAGCCCACUGCCAGGAUGUGGAGGAAGGUGUGAGUACGCCAGUCACCUCCAUUUUUCUGACUCAACAUGUGGCCCCUGUUGGACCUCCAUCCUAAAGGAAGUUUCAUGCCCCUUGCUGGAUCUGCCAACUGAACAUAACAUAACAAGAUGCAAGAAACAAAAAAUGCACAGACUGUCAUAUCAAGGUUUUCUACAUGGUUCUGCUGGUUGCACCAUGUCCUGGAUAGUUAAGAUGCUCCAUGAUGCCAAGUUUUCCCUUCUUACCCGUAGUCUCCCAGUCAAGGAUGCCUCAUCUUAUUAGGAGGCAUAAGCUGUGCUCAGAAAGCUGGCAGACUGCACUUAGCAGGCUCUUAC